UGGGGUAUAGCCAAGUGGUAAGGCACCAGAUUUUGAUUCUGGCAUGUCCCUGGUUCAAGUCCAGGUACCCCAGCCA
rnacentral:tRNA from 1 species